UACGGAGGGUGCGAGCGUUGUCCGGAAUCAUUGGGCGUAAAGGGCGCGUAGGUGGCCCGGUCAGUCCGUGGUGAAAGCGCGGGGCUCAACCCCGCGUCGGCCAUGGAUACUGCUGGGCUGGAGCACUGUAGAGGCAGGCGGAAUUCCUGGUGUAGUGGUGAAAUGCGUAGAGAUCGGCAGGAACACCCAGGGGGAAACCAGCCGACUGGGCAUCAACUGACGCUGAGGUGCGAGAGCGUGGGGAGCGAACCGG
rnacentral:rRNA from 1 species